rnacentral:rRNA from 1 species
CCUACGGGAGGCUGCAGUGAGGAAUAUUGGUCAAUGGGCGUAAGCCUGAACCAGCCAAGUCGCGUGAGGGAUGAAGGUUCUAUGGAUCGUAAACCUCUUUUAUAAGGGAAUAAAGUGUGGGACGUGUCUUAUUUUGUAUGUACUUUAUGAAUAAGGAUCGGCUAACUCCGUGCCAGCCGCCGCGGUAAUACGGAGGAUCCGAGCGUUAUCCGGAUUUAUUGGGUUUAAAGGGUGCGUAGGCGGCAUUUUAAGUCAGCGGUGAAAGUCUGUGGCUUAACCAUAGAAGUGCCGUUGAUACUGGUGAGCUUGAGUAUGUUUGAGGCAGGCGGAAUGCGUGGUGUAGCGGUGAAAUGCUUAGAUAUCACACAGAACCCCGAUUGCGAAGGCAGCCUGCCAAGCCAUGACUGACGCUGAUGCACGAAAGCGUGGGGAGCAAACAGGAUUAGAUACCCUUGUAGUC